rnacentral:piRNA from 1 species
UGAUUACUUACAUACUAUUUUAUCUCAGGA